rnacentral:tRNA from 1 species
GUCCUCGUAGCUCAGCUGGAUAGAGCGCACCCCUCCUAAGGGUGAGGCCACUGGUUCGACUCCAGUCGAGGACGCCA